rnacentral:rRNA from 1 species
UACGGAGGGUGCGAGCGUUAUUCGGAAUCAUUGGGCGUAAAGGGCGCGUAGGCGGCCUGAUAAGUCAAAGGUGAAAUCCCUCGGCUCAACUGAGGAACUGCCUUUGAAACUGCCAGGCUUGAGGCCGGGAGGGGGUGGCGGAAUUCCCAGUGUAGCGGUGAAAUGCGUAGAUAUUGGGAGGAACACCAGUGGCGAAGGCGGCCACCUGGACCGGUUCUGACGCUGAUGCGCGAAAGCGUGGGGAGCAAACAGG